UACGUCGGGUGCAAGCGUUAAUCGGAAUUACUGGGCGUAAAGCGUGCGCAGGCGGUUUUGUAAGACCGAUGUGAAAUCCCCGGGCUUAACCUGGGAACUGCAUUGGUGACUGCAAGGCUUGAGUGUGUCAGAGGGAGGUGGAAUUCCGCGUGUAGCAGUGAAAUGCGUAGAUAUGCGGAGGAACACCGAUGGCGAAGGCAGCCUCCUGGGAUAACACUGACGCUCAUGCACGAAAGCGUGGGGAGCAAACAGG
rnacentral:rRNA from 1 species